rnacentral:rRNA from 1 species
UAGGGAAUCUUCCGCAAUGGACGCAAGUCUGACGGAGCAACGCCGCGUGAGUGAAGAAGGAUUUCGGUUCGUAAAACUCUGUUGUUAGAGAAGAACAGCGCAUAGAGUAACUGUUAUGCGUGUGACGGUAUCUAACCAGAAAGCCACGGCUAACUACGUGCCAGCAGCCGCGGUAAUACGUAGGUGGCAAGCGUUGUCCGGAUUUAGUGGGCGUAAAGCGAGCGCAGGCGGUCAAUUAAGUCUGAUGUGAAAGCCCCCGGCUCAACCGGGGAGGGUCAUUGGAAACUGGUUGACUUGAGUGCAGAAGAGGAGAGUGGAAUUCCAUGUGUAGCGGUGAAAUGCGUAGAUAUAUGGAGGAACACCAGUGGCGAAGGCGACUCUCUGGUCUGUAACUGACGCUGAGGCUCGAAAGCGUGGGUAGCAAACAGG